rnacentral:rRNA from 1 species
UACGUAGGGCGCAAGCGUUGUCCGGAAUUAUUGGGCGUAAAGAGCUCGUAGGCGGUUUGUCGCGUCUGCUGUGAAAACCUAAGGCUCAACCUUGGGCUUGCAGUGGGUACGGGCAGACUAGAGUGCGGUAGGGGGUGACUGGAAUUCCUGGUGUAGCGGUGGAAUGCGCAGAUAUCAGGAGGAACACCGAUAGCGAAGGCAGCUCGCUGGGACGGUACUGACGC